UACGUAGGUGACAAGCGUUGUCCGGAUUACUGGGCGUAAAGAGCGCGCAGGCGGUCGUUCAAGUCGAGUGUGAAAGCCCCCGGCUCAACUGGGGAGGGUCAUUCGAUACUGAUCGACUCGAAAGCAGGAGAGGGAAGUGGAAUUCCCGGUGUAGUGGUGAAAUGCGUAGAUAUCGGGAGGAACACCAAUGGCGAAGGCAGCUUGCUGGGACGGUACUGACGCUGAGACGCGAAAGCGUGGGGAGCAACGGG
rnacentral:rRNA from 1 species